rnacentral:misc_RNA from 1 species
GAUGAAGAACGUAGCGAAAUGCGAUAAGUAAUGUGAAUUGCAGAAUUCAGUGAAUCAUCGAAUCUUUGAACGCACCUUGCGCCCUUUGGCUAUUCCGAAGGGCAUGCCUGUUUGAGUAUCGUGAACACCUCAACUCUCAUGGUUUGCCAUGAUGAGCUUGGACUUUGGGGGUUUUGCUGGCCUUUGGUCGGCUCCUCUCAAACGGAUCAGCUUUCCAGUGUUUGGUGGCGUCACGGGUGUGAUAUCUAUCUACGCCUGUGGUUUUCUGCCAGAUAACCUUCAGCGAUGGAGGUUCGCUGGGGCUCAUAAAUGUCUCUCUUCAGUGGAGACAGCUUUUUGGACGUUUGAUCUCAAAUCAGGUAGGACUACCCGCUGAACUUAAGCAUAUCAAUAGCGGAGGA